rnacentral:rRNA from 1 species
UAGGGAAUCUUCGGCAANNGACGGAAGUCUGACCGAGCAACGCCGCGUGAGUGAAGAAGGUUUUCGGAUCGUAAAGCUCUGUUGUUAGAGAAGAACGUUGGUAGGAGUGGAAAAUCUACCAAGUGACGGUAACUAACCAGAAAGGGACGGCUAACUACGUGCCAGCAGCCGCGGUAAUACGUAGGUCCCGAGCGUUGUCCGGAUUUAUUGGGCGUAAAGCGAGCGCAGGCGGUUAGAUAAGUCUGAAGUUAAAGGCUGUGGCUUAACCAUAGUACGCUUUGGAAACUGUUUAACUUGAGUGCAGAAGGGGAGAGUGGAAUUCCAUGUGUAGCGGUGAAAUGCGUAGAUAUAUGGAGGAACACCGGUGGCGAAAGCGGCUCUCUGGUCUGUAACUGACGCUGAGGCUCGAAAGCGUGGGGAGCAAACAGGAUUAGAUACCCUGGUAGUCCACGCCGUAAACGAUGAGUGCUAGGUGUUGGGUCCUUUCCGGGACUCAGUGCCGCAGCUAACGCAUUAAGCACUCCGCCUGGGGAGUACGACCNCAAGGUUG